rnacentral:rRNA from 1 species
UACAGAGGGUGCGAGCGUUGUCCGGAAUCACUGGGCGUAAAGGGCGCGUAGGUGGCGACCCAAGUCGAUGGUGAAAGCUCGGGGCUCAACCCCGAGUCGGCCGUGCGAACUGUUGUGCUUGAGCACUGUAGAGGCAGGCGGAAUUCCGGGUGUAGCGGUGGAAUGCGUAGAGAUCCGGAAGAACACCGGUGGCGAAGGCGGCCUGCUGGGCAGUAGCUGACACUGAGGCGCGACAGCGUGGGGAGCAAACAGG